ensembl:rRNA 5S_rRNA 5S ribosomal RNA
GCUUACGACCACACCGGCCUGAGUACGCCUGAUCUCGUCUGAUCUCGGAAGCUAAGCAGGGUCGGCCUGGUUAGUACUUGGAUGGGAGACUUCCUGGGAAUACCAGGUGCUGUAAGCU